CUAGUCACCCCUUCCCUCACUCUGUCACUAGUCACCCCCUCACUCUAGUGACAGAGUGAGGGAGGCGGUGACUAGUGACAGAGUGAGGGAGGGAAGUGGUGACUAGUGACAGAGUGAGGAAGGGGGUGACUAGUGACAGAGGGAGGGGUGACUAGGGACAGAGUGAGGGAGGGGGUGACUAGUGACAGUCACCACCUCCCUCACUGUCACUAGUCACCCCCUCCCUCACUCUGUCACCAGUCAUCCCCUCACUCUGUCACUAGUCACCCCUUCCUUCCCUCACUCUGCCACUAGUCACCCCUUCCCUCACUCUGUCACCUGUCACCCCCUCACUCUAGUGACA